GAUGAACGCUGGCGGCGUGCCUAAUACAUGCAAGUCGAGCGAACAGACGUGGAGCUUUCUCCUCUGACGUUAGCGUCUGACGGGUGAGUAACACGUGGAUAACCUACCUGUAAGACUGGGAUAACUUCGGGAAACCGGAGCGAAUACCGGAUAAGAUAUUGAACCGCAUGGUUCAAUCGUGAAAUACUGUUUUGCUGUCACUUAUAGAUGUAUCCGCUCCGCAUUAGCUAGUUGGUAAGGUAACGGCUUACCCAGGCGACGAUGCGUAGCCGACAUGAAAGCGAGAUCGCACAAACUAGAAGUGAGACACGGCCCAGACACCUAGGGGAAGCAGCAGUAGGGACUCUUACGCGAUGGGGGAAAGCCUGACGGAGCAAAGCCGCGUGAGUGAUGAAGGUCUUCGGAUCGUAAAACUCUGUUAUUAGGGAAGAACAAAUGUGUAAGUAACUAUGCACGUCUUGACGGUACCUAACCAGAAAGCCACGGCUAACUACGUG
rnacentral:rRNA from 1 species